UACGGGGGGGGCAAGCGUUGUUCGGAAUUACUGGGCGUAAAGGGCUCGUAGGCGGCCAACUAAGUCGGACGUGAAAUCCCUCGGCUUAACCGGGGAAUGGCGUCCGAUACUGGAUGGCUUGAGUCCGGGAGAGGGAUGCGGAAUUCCAGGUGUAGCGGUGAAAUGCGUAGAUAUCUGGAGGAACACCGGUGGCGAAGGCGGCAUCCUGGACCGGCACUGACGCUGAGGAGCGAAAGCCAGGGGAGCAAACGGG
rnacentral:rRNA from 1 species